GUUGGGUGUUUAAAUUACAAGCAUGCCACAACGCCUCCAAGCAUUUAGACACACCUACGUGCAACCCCUAGAGCCAUACGGAUUUGGAUAAAAUCCGCCAGCAAUUCGCUGCCAUUUGAAAUGAUUAAACAAUUAAUUACACAAAUUGCAAAUAAUGCAGAACAAUGGUGUGCUUUGAGCGUGGGAGAGACAUAGAAUAAUAAUGGCGACCAAAAAGAAAGAGAGAGAGAGAGAGAGAGAGAGAGAGCGGGAAAGCAUUUCGCCGGCAAUCCAAGCUUGUAUACUUAAAUAUGCUCGGAAUAACCCAAGACGCAAAAAUGUGUGGCGAAAGAAGCGAAGCUGGCAAACAACGCAAUCAAAAA